rnacentral:rRNA from 1 species
GACGAACGCUGGCGGCGUGCUUAACACAUGCAAGUCACGGGGGCCCGCAAGGGUAACCGGCGAACGGGUGCGUAACACGUGAGCAAUCUGCCUAGAUCUGGGGGAUAGUCGGCCCAACGGCCGGGUAAUACCGCAUACGCUCUUCGGGUGGCAUCACCUGAAGAGGAAACCUCCGGGGGAUCUAGAGGAGCUCGCGGCCUAUCAGCUAGUUGGUGGGGUAACGGCCUACCAAGGCAAUGACGGGUAGCUGGUCUGAGAGGAUGGCCAGCCACAUUGAGACUGAGAUACGGCCCAGACUCAUACGGGAGGCAGCAGUGGGGAAUAUUGCGCAAUGGCCGGAAGGCUGACGCAGCGACGCCGCGUGGGGGAUGAAGCAUUUCGGUGUGUAAACCCCUGUUGCUCGGGACGAACAAGCGAUUUCGAUCGCUCUGACGGUACCGGGUGAGGAAGCACCGGCUAACUCCGUGCCAGCAGCCGCCGCUGUAA